UCUAAAUAUUUUUGUUAAGCUAAAUUGUUUACCUUUCUAAUACGAUUUAUUGACUUGUUUAUGUCUUGAGAUAGUACAUCCUAGUAUUUUCCUAGACGAAUUUAUGUGAAAAAAAAAUUACGGCUUCAAGAUUAUAUCUAUAUUUAAUAUUUUUUAAAUGUGGAUGGAAUAGAAUCUAAAAAACGCCUGUGAUUAUUUAGUUGUAGUCUGUGUAGUGAAACAGGACUUAAAGAACAUUUUACAGACAUCUUAUAAAACUAGAUGUUCUGAACGACAACUAAACUUUGAAUAAAAUACAAACCACUCAAUCAACUACAGUAGUAGAGACGUGCAUGUAAUGAUGCUAAACCUUAACCGGCCCCUUCAUACAAUCUUUCCGGGGGCGAGAAUUUCACUUUUUAAGGUCGCGACCUUAAUGAUCUCUACCAUAGGUGACUGGAUUCACAUGGAGUAUUUACUUCCGGAGAUUGUAGACCCUCAGUUCCAACCAUUAUAAGUCGCUCAAGUCGGAAAUAAAUGAGCUAAAAAAUAUAUAUAGAAAU